rnacentral:misc_RNA from 1 species
GCUUUAGAAAAAGCUGGGGACUAGAGGCGAUGAACAGGACAUACUGCUCCACGGAUACAAGUUAAUGCUGUGAGUUGGAUGGGAAAAUGUUGAUUCUCUUUCAACAACCACGGUUUGAUUCUUAUUAUUAUAAGGAUCCGAGUUGAGUUCUUCAAGUUUGUAUCGGGAUGGCAACAGAUCGUUUUCUGUUCUAAGCCUCUUGAGAGCUUGAAAUUCAUCUUCACAGUAGUGUAUUUGAU